UGCGUGGCUUGCUACAGAGAACCCAGAUCAACUAAAACUUCUCUAAAUGAUCCACUUUCCAAUUCUGUAGCUCAAACGGUUAAGAAACCGAGCGUCUCUGAAAAAUUCUGGUCAACAAGCACAUUUGAUAUGGACAACAUCACCUUUCCUUCUCAAGGAGGAAGCAUAUCAUCCAGCUAGACUUUUGAAUCUCAAUCUGUUUCCCGAAACUCAAAUCCCCUGCCUGAGUUUGUAAACCAAGGCCUUCUUCUUUGGAAUCAGACAAGUGAGCUUUGUGUGGG